UGGGGCGUGGCCAAGUGGUAAGGCAACAGGGUUUGGUCCUUUUAUUCGGAGGUUCGAAUCCUUCCGUCCCAG
rnacentral:tRNA from 1 species